GGGUAAAAGCUCGUUUGAUUCUGAUUUU
rnacentral:snRNA from 1 species